GACAGAGGAUGCAAGCGUUAUCCGGAAUGAUUGGGCAUAAAGCGUCUGUAGGUGGCUUUUCAAGUCCGCCGUCAAAUCCCAGGGCUCAACCCUGGACAGGCGGUGGAAACUACCAAGCUGGAGUACGAUAGGGGCAGAGGGAAUUUCCGGUGGAGCGGUGAAAUGCAUUGAGAUCGGAAAGAACACCAACGGCGAAAGCACUCUGCUGGGUCGACAUUGACACUGAGAGACGAAAGCUAGGGGAGCGAAUGGG
rnacentral:rRNA from 1 species